rnacentral:snoRNA from 1 species
GUGAUGACGUGGUUCUACUGCGAUUGACGUGAGCGUGCCCCUACCCAACUGA